rnacentral:rRNA from 1 species
UACGUAGGGGGCGAGCGUUAAUCGGAAUUACUGGGCGUAAAGUGUGCGCAGGCGGUUGUGAAAGUCAGGUGGGAAAGCCCCGGGCUUAACCUGGGAACGGCGAUGGAUACUGGGAAGCUGGAAUGUGAGAGAGGAUGGUGGAAUUCCCGGUGUAGCGGUGAAAUGCGUAGAGAUCGGGAGGAACACCAGUGGCGAAGGCGGCCAUCUGGCUCAACAUUGACGCUGAGGCACGAAAGCGUGGGGAGCAAACAGG